ACAAGCGGUGGAUGAUGUGGUUUAAUUCGAUGCAACGCGAAAACCUUACCACCUUUGACAUGUACGGAAUCCUUUAGAGAUAGAGGAGUGCUCGAAAGAGAGCCGUAACACAGGUGCUGCAUGGCUGUCGUCAGCUCGUGUCGUGAGAUGUUGGGUUAAGUCCCGCAACGAGCGCAACCCUUGUCAUUAGUUGCUACAUUCAGUUGGGCACUCUAAUGAGACUGCCGGUGACAAACCGGGAGGAAGGUGGGGAUGACGUCAAGUCCUCAUGGCCCUUAUAGGUGGGGCUACACACGUCAUACAAUGGAUGGUACAAAGGGUCGCCAACCCGCGAGGGGGAGCCAAUCCCAUAAAGCCAUUCGUAGUCCGGAUCGCAGUCUGCAACUCGACUGCGUGAAGUCGGAAUCGCUAGUAAUCGUGGAUCAGAAUGUCACGGUGAAUACGUUCCCGGGUCUU
rnacentral:rRNA from 1 species